rnacentral:rRNA from 1 species
CAGGACGAACGCUGGCGGCGUGCCUAAUACAUGCAAGUCGAACGGUCUUUCUAUGGAAGCUUGCUUCCACUGAGAAGAUAGUGGCGAACGGGUGAGUAACACGUGGGUAACCUGCCCAUAAGAGGGGGAUAACAUCCGGAAACGGGUGCUAAUACCGCAUAGUUUUCUUGAUCGCAUGAUCGGGAAAGGAAAGACGGCCUUUGUGCUGUCGCUUAUGGAUGGACCCGCGGCGUAUUAGUUAGUUGGUGAGGUAACGGCUCACCAAGACGAUGAUACGUAGCCGACCUGAGAGGGUGAUCGGCCACAUUGGGACUGAGACACGGCCCGAACUCCUACGGGAGGCAGCAGUAGGGAAUCUUCCGCAAUGGACGAAAGUCUGACGGAGCAACGCCGCGUGAGUGAAAGAAGGUUUUCGGAUCGUAAAACUCUGUUGUCAGAGAAGAACAAGUUGGAGAGUAACUGCUCCAGCCUUGACGGUAUCUGACCAGAAAGCCACGGCUAACUACGUGCCAGCCGCCGC